AAGCAAUAGCCGUCAUUUCAACGUCUCGUUUCAGUAUAGACCCGAUAUAGCCGGGCUGUGUCUAGCCCAUAUCUAGCCCAAAUAAACUUUAAUUUGGUUACAUGUGGUUUUUGACAAAAUACUUUGUGAGAUGUAUGCUAUUUCAUCAUGUAAGCAAAGUUAACAGCGAUUACAAGGUAUUUCGUUUCAUUUCUUUAAAGUGUUUUAUGCAUCGUCUGUUACGUAGUCACAAUUUAGCUCAUAAAUAGACCGACUACGAAUAAACCACUUUUAGCCCAGAAAUAACCAUGAAUUUAAUUACAUGUUGUUUUUCCAAAAUGAUUUGUGAGAUGUAUGAUAUUUAAUCAUGUAAACAAAGUUCAAAGCGAUUACGGUAUUUUGUUUCAUUUCUUUAAAGUGUUUUAUGCACCGUCUGUACUUAGCCACUAUUUAGCUUACAAAUAGACCGACUACGAAUAACCUACGUUUAGCCCAGAAAUAACCAUUAAUUUAUUUUACAUGUGGUUUUUGCCAAAUAACUUGUGAGAUGUAUGGUAUUUCAUUGUGUAAGCAAAGUUAACAGCUAUUACAAGGUUUGUUUCAUUUCUUUAAAGUCUUUUAUGCACCGUCGUACAUAGCCACUAUUUAGCUCAUAAAUAGACCGACUACGAACAAACCAUGUUUAGCCCAGAAUAACCUUGAAUUUAAUAAAAUUUUGUUUUUGUCAAAAUAACUUGCAAGAUGUAUGAUAUUUCAUCAGGCAUGCAAAGACACCAGUGAAUUCCAGAUGUUUGGUUUUAUUUUUCUUAUCUGAAUCUGCUGUCACGCAUAACAUUCAUUAUUGAUAAACAAAAUGCAGUUACAACUCCGAACCGCUAGAUGGCAGCUGCAGUACACAAACACGAGGCCAAAUCUCGCGAGAAAGACUUCCGCUGUUUGAAAAUCAACACCAGCGAGCAGCCAGGAGGAAAGCAAUCUUCCACACUCAUUUGGUCUUGUAAGUGUUUUUAUUAUUUUAUUUUACAUGUGUUUAAAAUGUAUUUACUUCAUUUGUUGUUGGAAUCGCGACAUUCUUGCGGGUAGCUUAACGUUAGAGCAAGUUACCCAUGUUUUAUAAAACCUAAACAGUACAACCUGCAAUGUAAUAAAAUAGUGGAGGUAAAUGUAACAGACGUUAAACUGAAGAUUAACAUAAGUGAUUUGUAGGCUGCUUUUUAGUAACAGCAGUAACUUAGCUAAGUUAUCACUGUGUUGCUUACAGUAAUGUAGGCAGUUGUGCUUAACAAUUAUGCAUACAGAGAUAGAUUGAGGGGGAAAGCUAUUUUUCCAUAUGGAUUUAACUUACAGGCCUUCAGUUUGUUGGAAAAAAGAGUUUUAUUGUGUUAGUGAGGGAAAACUUGCAGGUCAGUGGGCAUUAACCUUAGAGGUUGGUAAACACUUGUACACUGAAGCAUACAAUACUGUACAAUUACUGACAUAGGCAUGUGCUAUUCAGGUGUCAAAGCUGUGCGAAACUGGAGGGAGAAACUUGAGAGACCAUGCCGGAAGAAUGCUGGACAGAGUUCCCUAAAAUUCAUUAAUUUCAAAGUUCAACAUGAAUGGUGGUGGUCCACUGCAGAAGCAAGCAUUUGAAAAAACAUCAGUUCUCAGUUAUUAAAGAUGCUGUGUUGAACAACUUCCCAGCAGCAACAGAACUGGAAGUGAAGGAUGAAAUGGGGGGCAUUUCAAACAGGCACCAGGGAGGACGUGGUGUAUAGAAAUUAGUACAAUUAAUAAGUUGAAGUGAACUGAAGAUAGUUUGUUAAUGUUUAGAUGUUAUUUCAUUUUUAAAAUUGUAUUUUGUUAUUUAUGCUUUUAUUUUGUUACUGUUUUUAUUCUUUUUGUUAAAAGUAGUUUUUCUUCAUUUUGUCUUAUCUGAAUUUCUAUUGUAUUAAUACUAUUUUUUUGUAAUAAAUUGCAGGAUUACAUGUUUAUGAGAACCUUUUUUAAUGGAUUAAAAAGAAUUCUUUAGCCAUUCUUUUGCUGUUUAUUUGACACACACAUGUAUUCAUUUAAUAGCCGUCUAUUUAACGGCUAGUCUAUUCUUGGGCUAUGAUAGACGUCUACUAGAUUUUCACUGACAGCCCAAAAUUAGCCUUUUAUUAGCCUAGACCCACAUUCACCGUCUAUUAGACGUAUAUAUGUAGACGUUUAGUAGCCGUCUAUUUGAUGACUAGUCUAUUCUUGGGCUAUGAUAGACGUCUACUAGAUUUUCACUGACAGCCCAAAAUUAGCCUUGUUUUAGCCUAGACGUCAGAGGGGUGUUUAGACGGCUACUAGACGUCUAUUAGCCGCAAAAUUGCUUGCUG